AAGCCCCAUCAUGGGGCUUGAACCCACGUCCACAAGGUUAAGAGCUUUGUGCUUUACCAAACAAGCAAUAGACCC
rnacentral:tRNA from 1 species